ensembl:lncRNA
CACUGAUACAUUCUUUUACAGUCCACUUUGUACAUCCACAAAAAACUUUUUCAUACUUAUCACUUAUAAAAAAUCCUUUCCCAAUCUCUUUAAAGCCUUCCCUCUUAUUUCCUAUUUAUUCUGUAGAGAACUUAUCUGUACGUUUCCAUAAAGUCUACCCCAUUAAAUUGUAAACUGCUUGAGGAUAGUGACUAAGUUUUCUAUUUUUUGUCUCCCUAAUAACUUAUAAUGCCUAGCAUGGUAGGCACUUAAUGUUUAUUGAACCAUUUCUACAUGACAUCCCUUUAAAUAUCUGCAGAAAACUCUCAUGGCCCAUUUUCCAACUAAGUUUUCUCAUAUUCAGGUUACAUCCUUUAUUUGUUUAACCAAGUCUUCAAAUAGUCUGAUCUUGAGAAUCCUUAAUAAUGCUGGCCACUUUUCUCCUAGAUGUUUCUCAGCUUAAAAAUAAUCUUCCAGGAACAGCUAGAUGGCACAGUGGAUAGAGCACUGACCCUGGACUCAGGAAGAACUGAGUUCAAAUUUGGCCUUGGACACUUAGUACAUAUAAGCUAUGUUACUCUGGGCAAAUCACUAAACUUCAAUUGCCUCAAAAAAAAAAAAAAAAAAAAACCACCACCAUCCAAAAAGUUUUUUAAAAAAUGUCCUUCCUAAAUCUAGUUUCAGAACUUAAUAGAAUAUACCAGCACUGGUCUGAUCAGGAUGGAGUAUGUCUUCCUUUGGUCUGGACACUGCCUUUUCUCAUAUAUUAUGUCUGUGAACUAGCUCACUAACUUUUUGAGGUUUAAUCUAAUUUAUGUGAAGCUUGAAAUCUACUGCAAUCAUUAGAGCUUUUUCAGAUGAAUUUCCAUCAAACCAGCAUUCUCCUAAAUUGUACUUUUGAAUUGUGACAGUAUUAAUAUUUUAAUAAUCUAGUGUUUGACAAACCCAAAGACCCCAGUUUUUGGGAUAACGCAUUAUUUGACAAAAAUUGCUGGGAAAAUUGCAAAUUAGUAUGGUAGAAAGUAGGCAUUGACCCACACUUAACACCAUACAACAAGAUAAGGUCAAAAUGGGUUCAUGACCUAGGCAUAAAGAAUGAGAUUGUAAAUAAAUUGGAAGAGCAUAGGAUAGUUUACCUCUUAGAUCUGUCAAAGAGGAAGGAAUUUAUGACCAAAGAAGAACUAGAGAUCACUACUGACUACAAAAGAGAAAAUUUUGAUUAUAUCAAAUUGAAAAGAUUUUGUACAAACAAAACUAAUGCAGACAAGAUUAGAAGGGAAACAACCUGGGAAAACAUUUUUACAGUCAAAGGUUCUGAUAAAGGCCUCAUUUCUAAGAUAUAUAGAGAAUUGACUCUAAUUUAUAAGAAAUCAAGCCAUUCUCCAAUUGAUAAAUGGUCAAAGGAUAUGGACAAUUCUCAGACGAAGAAAUCGAAACUAUUUCUAUCCAUAUGAAAAUAUGCUCCAAGUCAUUAUUAAUCAGAGAAAUGCAAAUUAAGACAACUCUGAUACCACUACACACCUGCCAGAUUGGAUAGAAUGGCAGGAAAAGAUAAUGCAGAAUGUUGGAGAGGAUGUGGAAAAAGGAGGACACUGAUACAUUGUUGGUGAAAUUGUGAAUACAUCCAGCCAUUCUGGAGAGCAAUUUGGAACUAUGCUCAAAAAGUUAUCAAACUGUGCACACCCUUUGAUCCAGCAGUGUUUUUACUGGGCUUAUACCUCAAAGAGAUACUAAAGGAGGGAAAGGGACCUGUAUGUGCCAAAAUGUUUGUGGCAGCACUGUUUGUAGUGGCUAGAAGCUGGAAAAUGAAUGGAUGCCCAUCAAUUGGAGAAUGGUCGAGUAAACUGUGGUAUAUGAAUGUUAUGGAAUAUUACUGUUCUGUAAGAAAUGACCAGCAGGAUGAAUACAGAGAAGAUUGGCAAGACUUACAUGAACUGAUUGAUGCUAAGUGAAAUGAGCAGAACCAGGAGAUCAUUAUAUACCUCAACAAUGAUACUGUAUGAGGAUGUAUUCUGAUGGAAGUGGAUUUCUCAACAAAGAGAAGAUCUAACUCAGUUUCAACUGAUCAAGGAGGACAGAAGCAGCUACACCCAAAGAAAGAACACGGGGAAAUGAAUGUAAACUGCUUGCAUUUUUGUUUUUCUUCCCAGGUCAUUUUUACCUUCUGAAUCCAAUUCUUCCUGUGCAACAAGAGAACUGUUCAGUUCUGCACACAUAUAUCGUAUCUAGGAUACACUGUGACAUAUUUAACUUAUAUAGGACUGCUUGCCAUCUGGGGGAGGGAGUGGAGGAAGGGAGGGGAAAAAUCAGAAGUGAGUGCAAGGGAUAAUGUAAAAAAAAUUACCCAGGCAUGGGCUCUGUCAAUAAAAAAAAUUAUAAUAAAAAAAAAAAAAAAAAGACUAAUAUUUUUGUUAAUGAUCUGGAUAAAUGUUUAGAUGGCAUACUUAAUACAAAGUUGAAAGAGGUAACAUAAUGACAGAGAUAGCAAAUAAAAGAUCUUGAUAGGUUGGGAAUAUUGGGGCAGAUUCGGAAAAAACUUUAAACACCACAAAAUUAUGGACAGAUUAAUGUGGAACUUCACUAGAGACCUCCUCCCAAGAUUGUAACUCAAUACUACUGCUUGUUAAUAAGUAUUAAAUUCUGAAACUACUCGAUCAUAGUAGUUUUUUGUCAUCCAUCAAAAAAAAAGUUCAGACAAAAUAGAAAUUUCUUACCUUCAAAUUCUGCAAAUUGAAUAGGUCAACAAAUUUCAUUAAUACCUAGACUUUGAUUUCAAAAAGAAUUAACAGAGGUACUAGAAGAAUUGUUCUUUUGUGGGUGAUAUCCACCCACAAAGUAAUGCUGAAAUUAUUUGAAACCACUGCUUUGGGGAUUUAAUCAGUUAAUUUUUAGAUUAAAUUAUUCCCUUGUUAGUCAGUCAUGAGCUGUUAUUUCUUGAUGCAGUCAUGCAGGCUUCUUGUGAUCAAUUUCCUAUUAUUUUACUCCUAUUAUAGAUGUAUGCUAACCACCCAUUUAACAAUACAUUCUAGAACUUUUAUUGAUUUACCAACACACUAGCUAAAAGUUGGCCUAACAUCUCACCCACUAUGUCAUUAUUCAGAUGUUCUUACUGAGGUUAAGGGAAAACAACCAUUUUUUAAGAGUCUACAGUGCCAAGAAUCAUGCUAAGCACUUUACAAUGUCCUCUCAUUUAUUUCUAUUAACAACUCAGGGAAGUAGAUAGGUGCUUUUAAAUCAUCUCCAUUUUACAGUUAACUGAGACAGUAAUUAAAUGAAUUGCAUAGUCAACAACACAAUUUGAAAGUGUCUGAAACCACAUUUGUACUUGUCUUCCAGAUUAGAGACCCAUUGCUCUGAUGUCACACCUAGCUUCCUCUGAGGAAACAGAAUUGUAGAAAAUGGACCACUGACUCAGGACAGUGUGGUAUAGAGCAGGAUUCAGUAAUGGCCUGUAAAAUAUUUUAACAUUUCUAUUUAGUAAAGAUUAAGCUUAUCUGUUGAAUUAUUUUCAAGUAACAUUCCUAAGAAAACACUACAUUUCUUUUGUUUAUGAAAUUAAAAUGACUUCUCUCAUUUAAAUUUUCAUUUUGAGAUUCAAAUUUUCCAGCAUCAAUUUUUAUAUUUUUCAAAGUUCUUUUGGUAUAUAUUAAUUUUUGUACUUUCUCAA